rnacentral:SRP_RNA from 1 species
UCGUGCUAGACGGGGAGGUAGCGGUGCCCUGUGACCCGCAAUCCGCUACAGCGGGGUUGAACUCCCGAACCGAGGUCUCUUGUCCGAAUACGGCGUGAGGAGAAGCGGCGUCGAAGGUCAGGUCCUGCGCAACGGAACAUCAUCGAACCCCGCCAGGACCGGAAGGUAGCAACGGUAGAUGACCCGUUCUGUGUGCCGCGGGGCAACCUGGCCGGAGCUGGCUGACCUCAUCAAGUCUCGGGCGAAGAUCGAGGGCGGGUGCACGG